UGGAAUGUUAACUCCAAGAAAAAAGGAAUUUUCUUCUUUAGUUCAUUGAUGUAUCCUCAGUUCCUUGAUCGAUGCCUGGCAUGUUCAUCCCUUGGAGGGAGGCCUUGUCACUGUCCCCCUUUGCACCGAGGAGAAAAACAGAGGCUUCUAGAAGCUGCAUAUGGACACCCUACACACACACCCAAUAGUAGAGUCCAGAAGCUUAGCUGGCCUCCAUGCAACAACUGGCUGUGUUCUCCCUUCUAGUCGAAGAGGACUGAAUAAAGGAGGAAGGCCAACGCCAGACCUAUAAGAGAUGCGGACCGAGCUCCAAAGUGAAG